UACGUAGGGUGCAAGCGUUGUCCGGAAUUAUUGGGCGUAAAGAGCUCGUAGGCGGUCUGUCGCGUCGGCUGUGAAAACCCGGGGCUCAACCCCGGGCCUGCAGUCGAUACGGGCAGGCUAGAGUUCGGUAGGGGAGACUGGAAUUCCUGGUGUAGCGGUGAAAUGCGCAGAUAUCAGGAGGAACACCGAUGGCGAAGGCAGGUCUCUGGGCCGAUACUGACGCUGAGGAGCGAAAGCGUGGGGAGCGAACAGG
rnacentral:rRNA from 1 species